rnacentral:rRNA from 1 species
UCCGCAAUGGGAGGAAACCUGACGGAGCAACACUGCGUGACCGAUGACGGCCUUCGGGUUGUAAAGGUCUUUUUUGAGGGAAUAAUUCUGAAGGUACCUUAAGAAUAAGCACCGGCUAAUUCCGUGCCAGCAGCCGCGGUAAUACGGAAGGUGCAAGCGUUAUCCGGAAUCAUUGGGCGUAAAGCGUCCGUAGGCGGUAAUUUAAGUUAGAUGUUAAAUCUAGAGGCUCAACUUCUAGAUCGUGUCUGAAACUGGAUUACUAGAGACUUGUAGAGGCUCGUAGAAUUCUGUAU